rnacentral:rRNA from 1 species
AUUUAAGUCUAACCUGCCCAUUGAAAUUUUAAAAGGCCGCAGUAUUUUGACUGUGCAAAGGUAGCAUAAUCAUUAGUUUUUUAAUUGAAAACUUGUAUGAAUGGUUGAAUGAGAUAUAAACUGUUUCAAAAUAAAAAUAAUAAAACUUUAUUUUUUAGUUAAAAAGCUAAAAUAUAUUUAAAGGACGAGAAGACCCUAUAAAGUUUAAUAAAUUUUAAUUUUAUAAUUUUUUUAAUAUAUUUUUUAUUUUAUUGUUAAAUUUAUUUUAUUGGGGAGAUAAUAAAAUUUAAUAAACUUUUAUUUUAAAAAACAUAAAUUAAUGAAUAUAUGAUCCUUUAUUAAUGAUUAAGAAUUUAAAUUACUUUAGGGAUAACAGCGUAAUUUUUUUUUUAAGUUCAUAUUUAUAAAAAAGUUUGCRACCUCGAUGUUGGAUUAAAAUUUAUUUUAGGUGUAGAAGUUUAAAGUAUUAAGUCUGUUCGACUUUUAAAAUUUUACAUGAUCUGAG